AACGUAGGAGGCAAGCGUUAUCCGGAGUUACUGGGCGUAAAGCGCACGUAGGCGGAUUGUUAAGUCAGGGGUGAAAUCCUGGAGCUCAACUCCAGAACUGCCUUGAUACUGGCGAUCUUGAGUCCGGGAGAGGUGAGUGGAACUGCGAGUGUAGAGGUGAAAUUCGUAGAUAUUCGCAAGAACACCAGUGGCGAAGGCGGACUCACUGGCCCGGUACUGACGCUGAGGUGCGAAAGCGUGGGAGCA
rnacentral:rRNA from 1 species